rnacentral:sRNA from 1 species
GAAGCAAUUCGUUUGGGUGGUGCAGUAUUCUAGUCAGUCUUCCUGUCAUGAAGGUGGGCCUAAAAAUCCACUAAAGGGCACAUCGAUGAAGUUCCUGGUUUUGGCUUGAGGAGCCCAGCCUUGGGUUGAUGUUGGGAGUAAGGCAUUAGGGCGAUCCACAAUGGCAUGUGGGCGUUGACCCUUUCGCCGCGGAGGCUCUAAAUGUGUAGAUUUUCAAAGGGCGAUUACUGCAUGUUUAGAGUAUGAACCUGUGAGACGGGCCAUUCUACUUGGUCAGUGAGCAGCGUAGCCUGCCUUGAGUGAGGUAUGAGGGGAUUAUGGUAACAGAGUACACAUUAGUUGGCCAUUAAUAUGUGCUUUUUCGUCCAUAUGAAAUCUGCUUUGCAAAAGAGGCUAAGGACAGGUUAAAGACUGUUGAGGAAAACUCCUAGACUGUUCCAAAAGACAUAUAAAGGGGAUUAUAGUACGGACUAAGUGGUAAUCCAGUCUAACUGAUGGUGACACAGUUAAGGCGACUUUAAAGGGAAACCGCCAGAAUGGCAACAUCUGGUAGUUGUCUGGGAAAACCUACUGGACCUAAGCCGUAAUUUUUAUCCUUUGUGUGGCCAUCCAAACUAUACAUAAU